UGGCUUAACAGCAGGUAUACUAAAAUUGGAACAAUACAGAGAGGAUUAGCAUGGCCCCUGCACAAGGAUAACAUGCAAAUUUUUCCAUAUUUUU
ensembl:snRNA U6 U6 spliceosomal RNA